rnacentral:rRNA from 1 species
GACGAACGCUGGCGGCGUGCUUAACACAUGCAAGUCGAACGAAGUGGCGAACGGGUGAGUAACGCGUAAUCAACCUGCCCUUCAGAGGGGGACAACAGUUGGAAACGACUGCUAAUACCGCAUACUGAAGGAGGGGAUUGCGUCUGAUUAGCUUGUUGGAGGGGUAACGGCCCACCAAGGCGAUGAUCAGGAGCCGGGCUGGGAGGAUGAACGGCCACAUCGGGACUGAGAAACGGGCCAGAACCCGUCGGGAGGCAGCAGUGGGGAAUCUUCCGCAAUGGGCGAAAGGCUGACGGAGCAACGCCGCGUGAGGGAUGACGGCUUUCGGGUUGUAAAGCGCUGUUAAUCGGGACGCGGUACCGGAAGAGAAAGCCACGGCUAACUACGUGCCAGCAGCCGCGGUAAUAC